rnacentral:rRNA from 1 species
UACGGGGGGAGCAAGCGUUGUUCGGAUUUAUUGGGCGUAAAGAGCGUGUAGGCGGUUAGGUAGGUCCGUUGUGAAAACUCGAGGCUCAACCUCGAGACGCCGAUGGAAACCAUCUGACUAGAGUCCGGAAGAGGAGAGUGGAAUUCCUGGUGUAGCGGUGAAAUGCGCAGAUAUCAGGAAGAACACCCGUGGCUAAGGCGGCUCUCUAGUACGUGACUGACGCUGAGACGCGAAAGCGUGGGGAGCGAACAGG